GGAGAGGGAAUGCAGUUUUGCUCCCACAAUGAUGCAGAUGUUGAAAUUAGCAGACAAAUGUUCUAAAACAGCCAUCGUAGAUGUGCUCCGGGGCAUAUAGGAAACUUUCAUCACAACAAGUGAAAAUAGAGGAAACCUCAGUAGAGGAAUAGAAAGUGUAAGAAAAAUCCUAGAACUGAAAAAUACCAUAUCUGAAACUAAGAAUGUAGCACUUGGAUUACAUAACAGAAUGGAAAUGACAGAAAAAAAGAGUCCGUGAACUUGGAGAUAAAUCAGUACAGACUAUUCAACCUGACAACAGAAAAAAGGAAAAGAUAUUCAGGGACUUGUGGACAUUAUUGGAAGAUCUGUUUAAUAUAUAAGUAAUUGGAGUUCCAGAAGCUAAGAGAGAAUGGGGAAGAAAAAGUAUUUUUCAUAAAUAACAUCAAAAAAGCUCUCAAAUUUUGUAAUAAACACACACACACACACAGACACACAGAUGUAAAAAAAACACCAUGCAAACAUCAAACAGUAUAAAUGUAAAGAAAAGCACACCCAGGCACAUCAUAGCCAGACCUCUGGAAAUAGAAAAUGAAGAGAAAAUCUUGAAAUCAGAGAAAAAUGGAUGUCAUAUGGAGGAAAAUAACAUGAAAAUCACCGACGUCUCAUCAGAAAUUAUGAGGUCUAGAGGCGAUGGAACGGUACCCUGAUGUGCUGAUUGAGCACAAAAACAUGUCAAGCUGUGAUUCUAUCUCCUCCCGAGAACACAAAUGAAAUGCAGACGUUGUGGAUAAAUGAAAAUGAAUGAGAAUUCAUUGCCAGUAGAGUUGUAUCACAGACAGGCUGAAGGACGUUCUUCAAGGGAAGGAACAAGAUGCCAGAUAAGAGCUCAGACCUUCAACCAGGAAUGAAGAGCACUGGAAAUGGUAAGUGUGUGGGAAAAUCGAAAAGAUUAUUUUUUUUUCACCUUAAAAAGAAUGCAUCUACUAUUUAAAGCAAAAA
rnacentral:lncRNA from 1 species